rnacentral:rRNA from 1 species
CGGAAUUACUGGGCGUAAAGCGCGCGUAGGUGGUUCGUUAAGUUGGAUGUGAAAUCCCCGGGCUCAACCUGGGAACUGCAUCCAAAACUGGCGAGCUAGAGUAUGGUAGAGGGUGGUGGAAUUUCCUGUGUAGCGGUGAAAUGCGUAGAUAUAGGAAGGAACACCAGUGGCGAAGGCGACCACCUGGACUGAUACUGACACUGAGGUGCGAAAGCGUGGGGAGCAAACAGGAUU